rnacentral:rRNA from 1 species
UACAGAGGUGGCAAGCGUUGUUCGGAAUUAUUGGGCGUAAAGAGCUUGUAGGCGGUCUGUCGCGUCUGCUGUGAAAAUCCGGGGCUCAACCCCGGACUUGCAGUGGGUACGGGCAGACUAGAGUGUGGUAGGGGAGACUGGAAUUCCUGGUGUAGCGGUGAAAUGCGCAGAUAUCAGGAGGAACACCGAUGGCGAAGGCAGGUCUCUGGGCCACUACUGACGCUGAGAAGCGAAAGCAUGGGGAGCGAACAGG